rnacentral:ncRNA from 1 species
UCAGGUUUCUACAGAAUCAAUAGGGAAUCUUGUGAAAAUCAAGAGCUAUACCCGUAGCUGUAAGUCCUGCAAAAGGCUUCUAGCAUUAUGUCACUGGCGUAAGCCGGGAAGACGCUGGAAAGCUUGGACGAGCCAGAAGACCUGCCUGAAAUCC